UUAAAUUGAAGAGUUUGAUCAUGGCUCAGAUUGAACGCUGGCGGCAGGCCUAACACAUGCAAGUCGAACGGUAACAGGAAGCAGCUUGCUGCUUCGCUGACGAGUGCCG
rnacentral:rRNA from 1 species